rnacentral:rRNA from 1 species
CAGCGCCACAAGUGGCAAUCACGUUUAUUGGGCCUAAAGCGUCCGUAGCCGGUUUAGCAAAUCUUUUGUGAAAUCGUCAGGCUUAACUUGACGAAUUGCAGAAGACACUACUAAACUAGGGACUGGGAGGAGUCAGAAGUAUUCUGGGGGGACCGGUAAAAUGGUAUAAUCCCCAGAGGACUACCGAUGGCGAAGGCAUCUGACCAGAACGGAUCCGACUGUGAGGGACGAAAGCUAGGGGAGCAAACCGGAUUAGAUACCCGAGUAGUCC